CUUUCAGGAAACAGGAUUGAGAGAGAAGCUAUUGGGAAUUUUUGAUUGAUGGAACGGAUUAAUUAUCUGACUGAUCUGCCGUAGACAAUGAUAGGAAAGUACGAUUGAUUCGGAAGGAUGCUGUUCGAGUCUGUCGGAUGAUGAAUAGAAUUUAUAUACUUAAUGCUUUCGUUGUUGACAGCGGUAAGGAAUCGUGUUUAAUUGAGAGGUAUUCAAGGACGGACGUUGACAUGAUAAUGAAUUUUAACUGACUAUUGAUGAGAAAGAGGGCUCUUUAGGAAGUGGUAAAAGAGAGAAGCUGCCGGAAAUAAAUGUGUAAUGGAAUGAAUUACAUACCUGUUUGAUCUGCUGUAGAUGAUGAUUGAUGAGAGAGAGGAACUUUCAGGAAGCAGGAAAGAGAGAGAAGCUAUUGUAAAAUAUUUGAAGGACGGAAUAGAUUAAUUAUUUAAACGAUCUGCUGUAGAUAAUAAUAGGAAAUACGGUUGAUUUGGAAGAAUGCUGUUUGAGCUUGUCGAAUGAUGAAUAGAACUCAUACUUGAUACUUUCAUUGUUGAUAACGUUAGGAAGAAAAUCUUCGGGAAACGGAGGAUAGAGAGAAAUCGUUGGAAUUAACUGUAUGAUGAUUGGUCUGCUGUAAAUGAUGAUAGGAAAUGAGAUUGAUCCUGGAAGAUGUUGCUGGAGUAAUUUGAACGACGAUUAGUAUUUAUUUUUGAUGGUCUUGUUGUUGACAGCGGUAAGGAAUUAUGUUUGACUCGGAGGCAGUAAAGAACGGGCAUUGACACGGAAAUGAAUCUCAAUUAACUAUUGAUGAAAGAAAGGAGUUUGUAGAAAGCAGGAAAAGGGAGAAGCUGCUAGAAAUAAUUGUAUGUUGGAAUGAAUUAAAUAUCUGAUUGAUCUGCCGUAGAUGAUGGUAGGAAAGUGUGAUUGAUCCUAAAGAUACCGCUCGAAUGGGUUGAACGGAGAAUAGUGUCUAUACUCGAUGGUCUUGUUGAUGACAGUGGUAAGGGAUUACAAUUGAUUCAUAGACAAUAAACAUUCGAGGACGAGUGUUGACGUGAUGAAUGGAAUCUUUUCAUUAUCUGUAAAUGAGAGAGAGGAAUUUUCAAGAAACAGAAAAGAGAGAGAAGCUAUUGCAAAUAUUUGAACGAUGAAAUGGAUUAAUUAUCUGAUCGAUUUGCCGUAGACGAUGAUAGGAAAAUACGAUUGAUUCGGAGGGAUGCGUUUCGAGCUCGUCGGAUGAUGAAUAGAAUUUAUACUAGAUGUUUUCGUUGUUGACAGCGGAAAUCUUCAGGAAACGAAAGAUAGAGGGUAGUCGUUGGAGAUAAUUGUACGAUGAUUGGUCUGCUGUAGAUGAUGAUAGGAAAACGUGUUUGAUCCUGAUGGAUACUGCUGGAGUAAUUUGAACGACAAUUAGUAUUCAUAUUUGAUGAUCUCGUUGUUGACAGAGACGAGGAAGAGGAACUUUUAUGAAACAGGAAAGAGAGAGGAGUUAUUGGAAAUAUUCGAAUGAUGGAAGGGAUUAAUUAUCUGACUGAUCUGCCGUAAACGGUGACAGGAAAAACGAUUGAUUUGGAAAGGUGCGGUUCGAGCUUGUCGAUCGAUGAAUAGUCUUUUAUAUUUGAGGGUCUUGUUGUGGACAGCAGUAAGGAAUUGUGUUUGAUUCAGAGGCAGUAAAGAACGGGCGUUGACAUGAUAAUGAAUUUUAAUUAAUUAUUGAUGAAGGAGAGGAAUUUUUAGGAAAUGGAAAAAGAGAGAAGUUGCUGGAAAUAAUUGUAUGACGAAAUGAAUUAAAUACCUGAUUGAUCUGCUGUAGACGAUGGUAGGAAAGUGCGAUUGAUCCUAAAGGUACCGCUCGAAUAAGCUGAGCGGGAAUAGUGUCUAUACUCGACGGUCUCGUUGUUG